rnacentral:rRNA from 1 species
GACGAACGCUGGCGGCGUGCUUAACACAUGCAAGUCGAACGGAAAGGCCCUGCUUUUGUGGGGUGCUCGAGUGGCGAACGGGUGAGUAACACGUGAGUAACCUGCCCUUGACUUUGGGAUAACUUCAGGAAACUGGGGCUAAUACCGGAUAGGAGCUCCUGCUGCAUGGUGGGGGUUGGAAAGUUUCGGCGGUUGGGGAUGGACUCGCGGCUUAUCAGCUUGUUGGUGGGGUAGUGGCUUACCAAGGCUUUGACGGGUAGCCGGCCUGAGAGGGUGACCGGCCACAUUGGGACUGAGAUGCGGCCCAGAAUCCUACGGGAGGCAGCAGUGGGGAAUAUUGCACAAUGGGCGGAAGCCUGAUGCAGCAACGCCGCGUGCGGGAUGACGGCCUUCGGGUUGUAAACCGCUUUCGCCUGUGACGAAGCGUGAGUGACGGUAAUGGGUAAAGAAGCACCGGCUAACUACGUG